UCGCUUCAACAGCGCACAUACAAAAGUUGGAACGAUACAAACAAGGUUUCUGUGCCACCUGUACAAGGAUGACACGCAAAUUCAUGAAGUGUUUUAUAUUCUA